ACAAGCUGGUUACUUCCCAGUGCAUGCAAUACCAUUUCUGGAAGAGGUAUUGUAUAGCUCAACAACCAGUAGUUUCAAGGAUUCCCUUUUGCUGUAUGUAUCACAAGAGGAAAGAGCUGUCCUGUUGAAGGCUUUGGAGGACUUUCAUUAAGUGGACACAGAUGAACUUCUCAAUCUUGUGCUUCCGGUGAUUCUGCCAUCCGUCAUAGUCAUCCGUCGUCACGUGGUCGUGGUCGUGGUCGUGGUCACGUGGUCGUGGUCACGUGGUCGUGGUCACGUGGUCGUGGUCACGUGUUUGCAAAGGGUAAAUACACCCACCUGCAUCGGCAACCUGACCACAGCUGCUGCUAACAAAGUUAGCUCAGCUACAUAAAUCAAGCCACAGUCUGGAUCAUUGUGGACAGCUGCGUGGAACCAAGAGAGCGAGCGACAGAGACCAUGAGAAC